GGAUGUGAGGGCAAUCUGGCUGCCACAUCUGUCACCCCACUGAUCGCCAGGGUUGAUUUGGCUGAUCUGGCUGGCUAGGCAGGUGUCCCCUUCCUCCCUCACCACUCCAUGUGUGUCCCUCAUCCCUCCUGAAGCUGCGAAGCUGCGGGAUCUUCAGUCGAGGGUAUACGAGUAGCUGUGCUCCCCUGCUAGAACCUCCAAACAAGCUCUCAAGAUCCAUCAGAUCAAUUACUGUGAUCUCUCUUAUCUAAGUAGUCAAGCUUUGUAUGAUAAAUUCGGCUCAUUCCUU
rnacentral:snRNA from 1 species